ACUUUUUAAGUAUAUAAAGUAUAUUUGAUUUCCAAUCAAAAGGAUUAAAUAAGAAUUAAAAAAAGUA
rnacentral:tRNA from 1 species